rnacentral:rRNA from 1 species
UACGGAGGGUGCAAGCGUUAUCCGGAUUUACUGGGUUUAAAGGGUGCGCAGGCGGAUAUGUAAGUCAGUGGUGAAAUCUCCAGGCUUAACCUGGAAAUUGCCGUUGAUACUAUAUAUCUUGAAUGCUGUGGAGGUAAGCGGAAUAUGUCAUGUAGCGGUGAAAUGCUUAGAGAUGACAUAGAACACCUAUUGCGAAGGCAGCUUACUACGCAGAUAUUGACGCUCAUGCACGAAAGCGUGGGGAGCAAACAGG